ACGAUGAACGCUGGCGGCGUGCCUAAUACAUGCAAGUCGAGCGAACGGACGAGAAGCUUGCUUCUCUGAUGUUAGCGGCGGACGGGUGAGUAACACGUGGAUAACCUACCUAUAAGACUGGGAUAACUUCGGGAAACCGGAGCUAAUACCGGAUAAUAUUUUGAACCGCAUGGUUCAAAAGUGAAAGACGGUCUUGCUGUCACUUAUAGAUGGAUCCGCGCUGCAUUAGCUAGUUGGUAAGGUAACGGCUUACCAAGGCAACGAUGCAUAGCCGACCUGAGAGGGUGAUCGGCCACACUGGAACUGAGACACGGUCCAGACUCCUACGGGAGGCAGCAGUAGGGAAUCUUCCGCAAUGGGCGAAAGCCUGACGGAGCAACGCCGCGUGAGUGAUGAAGGUCUUCGGAUCGUAAAACUCUGUUAUUAGGGAAGAACAUAUGUGUAAGUAACUGUGCACAUCUUGACGGUACCUAAUCAGAAAGCCACGGCUAACUACGUGCCAGCAGCCGCGGUAAUACGUAGGUGGCAAGCGUUAUCCGGAAUUAUUGGGCGUAAAGCGCGCGUAGGCGGUUUUUUAAGUCUGAUGUGAAAGCCCACGGCUCAACCGUGGAGGGUCAUUGGAAACUGGAAAACUUGAGUGCAGAAGAGGAAAGUGGAAUUCCAUGUGUAGCGGUGAAAUGCGCAGAGAUAUGGAGGAACACCAGUGGCGAAGGCGACUUUCUGGUCUGUAACUGACGCUGAUGUGCGAAAGCGUGGGGAUCAAACAGGAUUAGAUACCCUGGUAGUCCACGCCGUAAACGAUGAGUGCUAAGUGUUAGGGGGUUUCCGCCCCUUAGUGCUGCAGCUAACGCAUUAAGCACUCCGCCUGGGGAGUACGACCGCAAGGUUGAAACUCAAAGGAAUUGACGGGGACCCGCACAAGCGGUGGAGCAUGUGGUUUAAUUCGAAGCAACGCGAAGAACCUUACCAAAUCUUGACAUCCUUUGACAACUCUAGAGAUAGAGCCUUCCCCUUCGGGGGACAAAGUGACAGGUGGUGCAUGGUUGUCGUCAGCUCGUGUCGUGAGAUGUUGGGUUAAGUCCCGCAACGAGCGCAACCCUUAAGCUUAGUUGCCAUCAUUAAGUUGGGCACUCUAAGAUGACUGCCGGUGACAAACCGGAGGAAGGUGGGGAUGACGUCAAAUCAUCAUGCCCCUUAUGAUUUGGGCUACACACGUGCUACAAUGGACAAUACAAAGGGCAGCGAAACCGCGAGGUCAAGCAAAUCCCAUAAAGUUGUUCUCAGUUCGGAUUGUAGUCUGCAACUCGACUACAUGAAGCUGGAAUCGCUAGUAAUCGUAGAUCAGCAUGCUACGGUGAAUACGUUCCCGGGUCUUGUACACACCG
rnacentral:rRNA from 1 species